rnacentral:rRNA from 1 species
UACGAAGGGGGGCUAGCGCUGUUCGGAAUUAUUGGGCGUAAAGGGCUCGUAGGCGGUUUUGUCGCGUCGGGGAGUGAAAAACCUACAGCUUAACUGUGGGCUUGCUUUCGAUACGGGCAGACUUGAGGCAUGCAGGGGAGAACGGAAUUCCUGGUGUAGCGGUGAAAUGCGCAGAUAUCAUGAGGAAGACCAGUGGCGAAGGCGGGUCUCUGGACAGUUCCUGACACUGAGACACGAAGGCCAGGGGAGCAAACGGG